AUCCUUAUCCGAUUUAUAAGCAUAAUUGGAUGUUCACACAGUUGUAUGAGGUGUCCCUCCCUUAAAACUUGUUAUGUAUUUGGAGCAUUACCCAUCUGAUG